AUGCACGCUGGCGGCGUGCCUCAUACCUGCAAGUCGCGCGAACGGACGAGAAGCUUGCUUUUCUGAUGUUAGCGGCGGACGGGUGAGUAACACGUGGAUAACCUACCUAUAAGACUGGGAUAACUUCGGGAAACCGGAGCUAAUACCGGAUAAUAUUUUGAACCGCAUGGUUCAAAAGUGAAAGACGGUCUUGCUGUCACUUAUAGAUGGAUCCGCGCUGCAUUAGCUAGUUGGUAAGGUAACGGCUUACCAAGGCAACGAUGCAUAGCCGACCUGAGAGGGUGAUCGGCCACACUGGAACUGAGACACGGUCCAGACUCCUACGGGAGGCAGCAGUAGGGAAUCUUCCGCAAUGGGCGAAAGCCUGACGGAGCAACGCCGCGUGAGUGAUGAAGGUCUUCGGAUCGUAAAACUCUGUUAUUAGGGAAGAACAUAUGUGUAAGUAACUGUGCACAUCUUGACGGUACCUAAUCAGAAAGCCACGGCUAACUACGUG
rnacentral:rRNA from 1 species